rnacentral:lncRNA from 10 species
CUCAGCUUCAGACUUGAGGUCAUGUUCAGAUGUUCUCCAAGUACCUUUUCAUUCUGGGUUCCAGGCUGAAUUAACAGCCUCACCUGGGACAAGGUGUUUUUAUGACAGAGAGAAAAAGCACAAGAGUUCAAGACAAAUCACACAAACAUAUUUAAAGCCUCUGCUCAGAUGUGGCAUUGGAUACAUCCCCAUAAACUCUACUGGCAAAACAAAGACACACAGACUUGUGGCAAAGCUCUAAGUCAAUGGCGAAGAGAAGCACUGGCCUUCAGGCACAUUGACGCUGGGAUUCUAGGAUGCAGAUGGUAGGGAUUAGAUACAACUUCCUGAGCUGGCAGUGAAAGGACUGACGUUUGGUUCCCUAUAACUUGGGGAGGGGCUGGUAAAGGUAAGACACAAGAGAACUAAGUGCCCAUACUUGAUCCCAGCUAAAUCAAUCUUCCUAGCAUUCCACCCAGAAAGGAUUUUGACAACUUUAUUAAAUGAAACUGGGAAGUGAAGAUUAGGCUCAGUGGAGCCAGAUUGGAAUCCAGACAACAUGGCUUAAGGAAAAAGAGGAAACACGAAAGGUGACAUAAAGGGCAAAAGAAUGAAAUGGAGCCUGAAGACAUUUACAGGCAAGAUUAACAAAAAUUGAGCCUGAGUUCUGCAAUUCACAGUCCUAAAACUAUUUUU